GUCUACCAUGCUCACACAUAUACUAAAAUUGGAAUGAUACAGAGAAGAUUAACACGGCCCCUGCGCAAGGAUGACACGCAAAUUCAUGAAGGAUUUCAUAUUAAA